CCCACUGUUGUAAACAGAUAGGCUCAUUGCAUACCGUGGUGUCUGACAAAGAAUAUGGUAUUAUUACCAACUGUCUUGCCAUGAAUUUGGGUGAACAACGUAACUUCCCUCCUCCUUUCCGUGACAUAAACUCUGACAACUCAGAUACAAUUUGCCUCCUGGCUAAUAAAGUCAAUAUGACCAGUCAAGUAUUCUUGUAAUGUUCUUGAGUUGGGAUACAACUUUCUCUUCAUGGUUGCCCUCAUGCUUGAAGGGAUGGGUUCAUCAGCACAAAUCUUGUUUACAGUGAGCAGGGAUGGGUUCAUCAGCACAAAUCUUGAAACGUUACUUAUC